GUGUCAGCCGCCGUGGUAAUACAUAGGGGGCAAGCGUUGUCCGGAAUCACUGGGCGUAAAGGGCGCGCAGGCGGUAAAUUAAGUCAGGUGUGAAAGUUCGGGGCUCAACCCCGUGAUUGCACCUGAUACUGAGAAACUAGAGGGUUGGAGAGGUGAGUGGAAUUCCUAGUGUAGCGGUGGAAUGCGUAGAUAUUAGGAGGAACACCAGUGGCGAAGGCGACUUACUGGCCAAUAACUGACGCUGAGGCGCGAAAGCGUGGGGAGCAAACAGGAUUAGAAACCCCUGUAGUCC
rnacentral:rRNA from 1 species